GAMGAGCUKGCUCUGAUKUGAUUUUAUCUGACAAAGAGUGGCGAACGGGUGAGUAACACGKGGGGUGGCCUKGCUCUUUGCAGGGGAUAACAUUUGGAAACAAGUGCUAAUACCGUAUARUACCAACRACCGCAUGGUUGUUGGUUGAAAGAUGGUUCUGCUAUCACUAAGAGAUGGACCCGCGGUGCAUUAGCUAGUUGGUAAGGUAACGGCUUACCAAGGCAAUGAUGCAUAGCCGAGUUGAGAGACUGAUCGGCCACAAUGGGACUGAG
rnacentral:rRNA from 1 species